rnacentral:rRNA from 1 species
CACUCCUGCGGGAGGCAGCAGUGGGGAAUUUUGGACAAUGGGCGAAAGCCUGAUCCAGCAAUGCCGCGUGAGUGAAGAAGGCCUUCGGGUUGUAAAGCUCUUUUGUCAGGGAAGAAACGGUGAAAGCUAAUAUCUUUUGCUAAUGACGGUACCUGAAGAAUAAGCACCGGCUAACUACGUGCCAGCAGCCGCGGUAAUACGUAGGGUGCAAGCGUUAAUCGGAAUUACUGGGCGUAAAGCGUGCGCAGGCGGUUUUGUAAGUCUGAUGUGAAAUCCCCGGGCUCAACCUGGGAAUUGCAUUGGAGACUGCAAGGCUAGAAUCUGGCAGAGGGGGGUAGAAUUCCACGUGUAGCAGUGAAAUGCGUAGAUAUGUGGAGGAACACCGAUGGCGAAGGCAGCCCCCUGGGUCAAGAUUGACGCUCAUGCACGAAAGCGUGGGGAGCAAACAGGAUUAGAAACCCCGGUAGUCCCAUGAU